GGGUGCGAUCGUACUAGCAUUAAUGCACCGGAUCCCAUCAGAACUCCGAAGUUAAACGUGCUUGGGCGAGAGUAGUACUAAGAUGGGUGACCUCUUGGGAAGUCCUCGUGUUGCACCUU
rnacentral:rRNA from 1 species